rnacentral:lncRNA from 1 species
CUGGGGUUUGCCAAGAAGCCAAGGGGUGCCCCAGGAUGGGCUGAGGCAGCCUCAGCCCCUCUGUGCCUGCAGGCAUGGAUUUCUGGGGAAAAUGGCUCAAAAUGCAAACUCCAGCAGUGUCCAGUGAAGAAAGGCCACAGAAAUGUUUAUAAUUCACAUUUGUAAAUCAGGUCAAGAACACUGGCCUAAUCCCCUUUCUGAUGGGAUUCCCUUCCAGCAGCACCAGCUGGAAUGCAGUGAGUCCUGGUGGCCCUGGAGAGCUCAGGACAAGGCAGGAGGGAGCAGCUCAGGGCUCCAGGUAAGACCUGCCCCUGUUGAAGCUGACCAUGACACCACAACUGGAAUAUCACCCUAAGCAAGGCAGUAAGCAAGGGACAAGCCACUGUCACCACGUGUUUGAAGAGCACAGAUGGCCAGGGUUUAACUGGCUCUGGCCUCUCAGCAGUGCUCCAUGUCCCUAAAGCGUGUGGGGACAAAAGGACGCAGCACUCUGAGAACAUCUCUGCCAUCCCUGCCUGUAUCUUGCCCUCCUGCAGUUCUCAGACACUGAACAUGGAUUUUCUCCUGAGAACAUUUUUCUUGGGAGGGUCAGUUCUACAGAAAUUCCCUCUCCUCCCUUUUGAAGGAUGGACAAAGGCACAUUUCUGUGCUACCACCCAAAAGUGUCUGUGCAGCUACUGCUUAUCUCACGUUCCAGCCAAUGAUCCCAGGGGAGGACACGGCCCUAAAUUAGCUCAUUUACAGUAGGAACUUUAAACUACAGCCAAAAAUAUUUGGUUUUAUUAGUACUCCCUAUAUAGUACGCCUCUGACCAAUAACUUGUUUUAUUUAUUUUUCUGGCGAAUUACCAUGUUCUUAUUCAAAGCCAUAAUGAGGAUUAUAUAUCGAUGUGGAAUGCAGAGCAGCCAUUCCUGAAACUCCCAACUGCAUAUAAAAGAGUCUGGAAUUCCCCAAACACUAUCUCUUCAGCCCAGGCCACUUACAAAUGUGGUUUAACAUGAAUGAAGUAAUAUCUUCAGAAAGGAAGGAGACUUUUGAGUCACGUCUGACACAUUUAACUGCACCAACCACUUUCCCCAGCUCAAGAUUUUGACUGUGUGUCUUAAUACCAGGCAGGGGUGU